GAUGAAGAACGCAGCGAAAUGCGAUAAGUAGUGUGAAUUGCAGAAUUCAGUGAAUCAUCGAGUCUUUGAACGCACAUUGCGCCCCCUGGUAUUCCGGGGGGCAUGCCUGUCCGAGCGUCAUUGCUGCCCAUCAAGCACGGCUUGUGUGUUGGGUCCCGUCCCCCUCACCCGGGGGACGGACCCGAAAGGCAGCGGCGGCACCGCGUCCGGUCCUCGAGCGUAUGGGGCUUUGUCACCCGCUCUUGUAGGCCCGGCCGGCGCUUGCCGACACCCAACCAUUUUUUUCAGGUUGACCUCGGAUCAGGUAGGGAUACCCGCUGAACUUAAGCAUAUCAAUAAGCGGAGGA
rnacentral:misc_RNA from 1 species